rnacentral:rRNA from 1 species
AUUGAACGCUGGCGGCAGGCCUAACACAUGCAAGUCGAGCGAGCGGCGGACGGGUGAGUAAUGUCUGGGAAACUGCCUGAUGGAGGGGGAUAACUACUGGAAACGGUAGCUAAUACCGCAUACCAUCAGAUGUGCCCAGAUGGGAUUAGCUAGUAGGUGGGGUAACGGCUCACCUAGGCGACGAGCCCUAGCUGGUCUGAGAGGAUGACCAGCCACACUGGUGCUGAGACACGUUCCCGACUCCUACGGGAGGCGGCAGUGGGGAAUAUUUCACAAUGUGCGCAAGCCUGCUGCAGCCCUGCCGCGUGUGUUAAGAAGGCCUUCGGGUUGUGAAGCACUUUCAGCGGGGAGGCGUUACCCGCAGAAGAAGCACCGGCUAACUCCGUGCCAGCCGCCGCGGUAAUUC